GAUGACCAAUCCGCGGCCGGGCCUGAGUCUUUGUAGCCAAUUGCAAGGCGCCUGGCAUUUCAGGGGCGGGCAUGACUUCCCCUCCGCUUCCCCCGCUGGGCGACAGUGACAUAAGCAAGUCUGGGCCGAGAGACGGGAGCCAGGUGCUUGUGAACGUGAGGCAGCCCCCUCUUCUUUCGACUCCAAAGUGCUGGAAGUGGCAAGCACCGUGUCCUCAGCCCAGCUAGAGAAAGGACUUUAAAAGGCACCGAAGAACUGAUGGAACUUCCCUUGGUGUUCCCUGUUUCCUCCUGCCUCCAAUCUGGUAGAAGGGAUAUCAAGGACUUAAAAUGUCAGCAAGAUCUGGAGUGAGACCUCCAGGAAUAUUUACUCUAUGUAGGCUUAGUGCUUAAAAAGCAACGAGUUGACUGCUCUAGAAUUUUUGAAUGCAGCCCCGUUCCCUAGAAGAACAUUGGGAUUCCUCAGCUGGUUUGAGAGCAGAAAAUACAUUUAUUCCCUCUGUAGUCUUGAACAAAUUGCUUUCCCUCUCUGGGUCUCAGUUUCCCAGAACGGCAUGAUGGGAUUGGUUGAUGCUGUCUAAGGCCCUUCUUAGGCUAGAUGACUUGCUUCUAAAAAUAAGUGACGGACCUAGACCAGGAGUCCCUUGAGAGUAGGGACCAUAAUCACCAGCUGGCACAGGGUCUAGGACACAUCAGGUGCUUAGUAUUUGUGGCAUUAGUCAACGGAUUUGGGGGUUUCCCUGAUAGUUCAGUGGUUUAAGGCUUCCCUGGUGGCUCAGAUGGUAAAGAAUCUGCCUGCAAUUCGAGAGACUCAGGUUCGAUCCUGGGUUGGGAAGAUCCCCUGGAGAAGGAAAUGGCAACAAUCCAGUAUUCUGACCUGGAAAAUUCCAUGGGCAGAGGAGCCUGGUGGGCCACAGUGCAUGGGGUCGCAAAGAGUCGGACAUGACUCAACCUCCAGCCCCGAGGAAGGCCAGCUAAGUGAGCAGCUUGACCCCUCUUGACUCAGUCCUGUCUGGGGGCCACGAUCAUCAGGACCUGGAGGGCAC
rnacentral:lncRNA from 1 species